UACGUAGGGCGCAAGCGUUGUUCGGAAUUACUGGGCGUAAAGCGUGCGUAGGCGGCUUGUCACGUCGGAUGUGAAAGCCCGGGGCUUAACUCCGGGUCUGCAUUCGAUACGGGCUGGCUAGAGUGUGGUAGGGGAGAUCGGAAUUCCUGGUGUAGCGGUGAAAUGCGCAGAUAUCAGGAGGAACACCGGUGGCGAAGGCGGAUCUCUGGGCCAUUACUGACGCUGAGGAGCGAAAGCGUGGGGAGCGAACAGG
rnacentral:rRNA from 1 species